CCCUAUGGGGUGCAGCAGUUGCGAAACCUCCGCAAUGCGCGAAAGCGUGACGGGGUUACCCCAAGUGCCAUCCGCUGAGGAUGGCUUUUCUUUGGUGUAAUGAGCCAAAGGAAUAAGGGGAGGGCAAGACUGGUGUCAGCCGCCGCGGUAAUACCAGCUCCCCGAGUGGUAGGGACAAUUAUUGGGCUUAAAGCGUCCGUAGCCGGCCUGGCAAGUCUUUCGUUAAAUCCAGCGACUUAAUCGUUGGGCUGCGGGAGAUACUGUCGGGCUAGGGGACGGGAGAGGCCGAUGGUAUUCUUGGGGUAGGGGUGAAAUCCUAUAAUCCCAGGAGGACCACCAGUGGCGAAGGCGAUCGGCUAGAACGCGCUCGACGGUGAUGGACGAAAGCUGGGGGAGCGAACCGGAUUAGAUACCCGGGUAGUCCCAGCUGUAAACGAUGCGAGCCAGGUGUUGGGGUGGUUACGAACCGCUUCAGUGCCGUAGGGAAACUGUUAAGCUCGCCGUCUGGGAAGUACGGUCGCAAGGCUGAAACUUAAAGGAAUUGGCGGGGGAGCACUACAAGGCGUGAAGCUUGCGGUUCAAUUGGAGUCAACGCCGGGAACCUUACCGGAGGCGACAGCUGAAUGAAGGCCAGAUUGAAGGUCUUGCUAGACUGGCUGAGAAGAGGUGCAUGGGCCAA
rnacentral:rRNA from 1 species